UCGGGAAUUUUGGGCAAUGGGCGCAAGCCUGACCCAGCAACGCCGCGUGAGGGAUGAAGGCCUUCGGGUCGUAAACCUCUGUCGGGAGGGAAGAACGCAUACCGGGUGAACAAUCCGGUGAGCUGACGGUACCUCCAAAGGAAGCACCGGCUAACUCCGUGCCAGCAGCCGCGGUAAUACGGAGGGUGCGAGCGUUGUUCGGAAUCAUUGGGCGUAAAGCGCGUGUAGGCGGCUUGGCAAGUCGGAUGUGAAAUCCCGGGGCCCAACCCCGGAACUGCAUUCGAAACUGCCUCGCUAGAGUCCCGGAGAGGAAGGCGGAAUUCCCGGUGUAGAGGUGAAAUUCGUAGAUAUCGGGAGGAACACCAGCGGCGAAGGCGGCCUUCUGGACGGUGACUGACGCUGAGACGCGAAAGCGUGGGGAGCAAACAGGAUUAGAUACCCCCGUAGUCC
rnacentral:rRNA from 1 species